GCGAACCGAUUAAGAGCUUGCUCUUAAGAAGUUAGCGGCGGACGGGUGAGUAACACGUAGGUAACCUGCCUAUAAGACUGGGAUAACUCCGGGAAACCGGGGCUAAUACCGGAUAACAUUUUGCACCGCAUGGUGCGAAAUUGAAAGGCGGCUUCGGCUGUCACUUAUAGAUGGACCUGCGGCGCAUUAGCUAGUUGGUGAGGUAACGGCUCACCAAGGCGACGAUGCGUAGCCGACCUGAGAGGGUGAUCGGCCACACUGGGACUGAGACACGGCCCAGACUCCUACGGGAGGCAGCAGUAGGGAAUCUUCCGCAAUGGACGAAAGUCUGACGGAGCAACGCCGCGUGAACGAUGAAGGCUUUCGGGUCGUAAAGUUCUGUUGUUAGGGAAGAACAAG
rnacentral:rRNA from 1 species